AUAAAUUGGAUAGAAAACCAGAUCUUUUGAUCCCACUGUAGUCCUUUUCUUUAUAUUCUGCUGAAGGAGGUUGGGAAAAGCACUUCCUUUGUUCACUUCCUUAUUCAGCAUUUUUCAGCAGUGACUUUGCAUCAGGGCCUUGGUAGGUGCUUGGAAACAGAAAACAAGAAAUGACCCUUCUCUGCAGGGCAGGAAGCCUAGACCAAAAGCUGGGUAAUGUGAUCCGAGCUACGGUAGCCAUUUGAAGACUCUGAGGACAAACUGUACCCCCGGAUUUACUUGAGCUUCCCUUGCCUUCUGGUUGGUACACACCAGGUCAUCGCAACCCAGAUGGACCUGCAGCCCACAGUACAGUAUGUACCUCGAUCUCCUCUCCCCUCUCGUCAGGGCCUGCAGCAUGAGCAUCCCUGACUACGUGCAGUGUGCUGAGGACCACCAGACUUUCCCCGUGGUGGUCGAACACGUGGGGAUCAUCUCAGAGGAGAAUUUCUUUUGCAUCUAUAAGUGAAUCACCUUGGUGAGUCAGAUCAGUCCGUGCAGCUCCCAGUGGGCAAACUGUAUCCACUACAGGCACCACUAUGCGCCCAAGAAUGUGUGGAGCGACUUCCAGACCCACCGCAAGGUCUUGGGCCUUGUCAUCAUUACUGAAUGCCUCUCGGCCAAGGCUUCGAAAAGCUCCACGUGCAGAGGAGCUGUAUGGCACCACGCUCUAUGACUCUCAGCUCUUUGACUUUCUGCUGCAUGGGGAGGUGGCCGAGCAGCCGCGCACCGAAGUGGCCUUCAAUUUACGAGGACUGCAGGGUGGUGGAGAAGAGGAUCGACGACUUCACUGAGUCACUCUUCAUCUUGCCCAAGUCCAAGUGGCUGGACGGUGCAUCCGACAAUUCUGGGGACAAGAUCCUCCUUCUCUGCAUCCCAUUUGAGAAGGAGGACAUCAUGGGACUGGACACAGAAAGCAGUACGUUUUGGUUACUGAGUCCCUCGAAUUCCCAUAUGAAUAGUAGCAGCAGCUAGUCAGUUACUGCAGAGGAGCCCGCUGGGAUUGUGAUCGAGACCACGUUGAGUAUACAGAUCGCUCUGGGGAGCACUGCCAUCCCAAGAGCGCUGUCAUCUGAUCCAGGAAUGUGCGUGGUGUGUCUGUCCAGGGGAAAAGAGUACAAUUCAAAAAUAUAAAGAUUGUGAGCUAAUGAGAUAGACAAGACAACUGAACAUUUGUUAAAUAUCCUUUCAUGCCGGAAACAAAUGUAUUAUACACACAAAAAGCACACAAAUCACGGUAGUACUGCGGUUACAAACGUGGGUCCGAGUUCGAGUCCUGCUCUGGAGUGACCAGUCCUGUGAGAUGGAGAACUGAGUUCUAUGUAUAGUUGGUUACAUUCUAUACCUGGAAAUUUCUCCAAAACUGCUUCCCACGUGAGUCCCAUGGCUCGGGAAUGGGGUGGUUCUGCUCAUUGACGGGUGUAGGCCAGAAACAGAAAAUGACAGCCUCAAAGGAGCCUGGGAUUUGUCAGUUAUGUUUUGUCAGUGCUGUAGAUUUCAGAAAACGCUUUCACCGUUUCUCUCCAUCUGAGGUGGCAGCGUGCUCUCUUAGCAGCAUAAGGAGCUCAGGGCCACGGGAUGGUGGGGGCUGACUGCACUGCUAUCAAGACAGAUGUGCCAGUCACUGCAGGCGUGGUGAUUUUACAUAGUGCAUUUCAUGUUCUUUAAUAGGUUUCAACAGGUAGUUAAUUAACUGAGUUAAUUAACAUUUAAGAAAUAUGAUGCUUUGUUGAAAAGACAGUUAUAGGCAGAAUAUAAGUUGUGAACCCUUUAAAAACGGUUUCAUUACUGAAAUUUUAAUAGGGAAGAUUUAGUUUAUCUUAUUUACACCUCUCUUCAAAAGUAACAAAGAAACAAGACAGAAAAAGCAGAGGAUGAUUUCUGUUCUUCCUCUCGGCUUGCAGGUGCCCUCACCUCCAGUGGCAUCCAUCCAGACACCAGCACUGACACUGGCCGUGCUCACAACUGCCUUAGCCCUGAAGACACAACUGACAAAUAGAAGGGGGCUACGCCCUAAGACAGCAGGUGCUCUUACUUUGUGGGUCCUUAUGUAACUGCGCGGUGUUAUUCAGGAUCGCCCGUUCUACACUUUGUGACGCUGCUGCCGUGUCUCCUAGUUAUUUCUGAUCUGAGAAGCAGGAGCAAGGAACUCAGGGAGAGAUCCAGGAAGACAUCUGACUCUGUUAAGAGACGACAGUCACAGCGACACGGGGAGCGAGGACACUUGCAGCAAAGUAAAAUGACUUCACAACUAUUGCAUCAGAGCUGCAGGUGUGAGAGAGCCUAAGCCUGUCUCAGAGUGCAGGGGACAAGAGGAAAGGAAUGUGUAAGAAUGCCGGUGACUCAGUUAGAAGCAUGCAUCCAACCCGUCCUUCCGUGUCAUCACCAUCUAGAAUCGGUGCCUGAAUCUUCUGAAUUUCUCCAGAAUGUGGUUUAAAAUCACCUUCGACAAUUGAGUGUGUGUCCUCUUACAAGUGGAGGAAUUGCUGCCGUUUCCCUGGAACUUACUCACCACUAGUCCAUCUGAUUUUUCUGUGCUAGGAUUCAGUAUGGCAUGCUAAAAAUUCUGCAGUCAGAUCUUGAAACACUGAUGAAGAGGAUUAUUUAUUUUAUUUCUUUAUAUGAUAGUGUUUUACUUUCAAAAUUCAGAGUUUUCGGUUCUUUCAAAAAAUUUUUUGGGGGUUGGAGAAACAACUUUGCUCUUACCAUCUCUGUGACCUGUUGCUUUGUGCCUCUCACCUGUCUUCUGUCACUUGUGAGGUGGUUCCAUUUGUGACCCUGUCAGGGUUGUUCAUGUUAUAAAACAUAUAGUCUGUUAAAGUACAGUCCCUUUUACUCCGAAGACAUUCCACAAAUACUCCUUAAAUCUGGGUGUGGUUUUAAGAAGACAGAAUCAUUAGAACAUGUACUUGCAGGUUGCUAGUGCAAA